rnacentral:lncRNA from 1 species
CUGCAAUUACCCAAAGAAAAAGAAGAAUGUAGUGUUGAUAAUGCUAUCAUCCACAUAACUCUUUAUUUUUGUAAAGAACUCAGAAAGUGUAACUUAAAUUUGAUAUGAAUUUUUUGAUCUGUAUGAUUCUUUAAAAACAGAAAAUAGAAAGAUUUUGUGGCCAUCACGAACAAUAGGCAUCUUCGGUGAGAUGCAUAUAUACUCCAUUCAUGGACGUGCUCAGAAGGCAACUAAUUUAUAGGUCAUAUGAGGUAAGUAUACGAAGGAAAAAAGGUUAAAACACCACGAACAUGAGUCGACAAUUACUUCUGUCGAGGUCUCUGCAUGCAUCAUACUUCCAAAUUUCAGAAGGAAACAUAAAUGUUUCUUGUAGAUGCUGAUAUUUCCAUUUGAAAGGAGAAUGAUCAAAGAAGUAUUCAUCUGUGUUUGCACAAUGCUUUAUUUGAAAUAUGUUUUGCUUUUUGCGUGAAUUACUCUAUUACCAGCUAAUGCAACUAAUUUAUAGGUCAUAUGAGAUAAGUAUAGGAAGAAAAAAAGGUUAAAGCACCACAAACAAAAAUCGACAGUCAUUUCUGUCGAGGUCUCUGCAUGCAUCAAACUUGCAAAUUUCAGAAGGAAACCUAAAAUGUUUUUUGUAGUUGCUGAUAUUUCCAUUUGAAAGGAGAAUGAUCAAAGAAGUAUUCAUCUGUGUUUGCACACUGCCCUAUUUGAAAUAUGGUUUGCCUUUUGCAUGAACUACUCUAUUACCAGCUAAUGUCCUACAAGAGAGGAGAAGGUUCUCCUUGUCACUGAGGUUGGAAUUGUCUUGAUGAUGAUAGUUUUGAUAACAUGUGAAGGCCUAGCACAGCAGAUACAACUUAUAGAAAAUUCAAGGCCUUGGAAGAUACCAAAUUUCAGAAAUAUUCAUGAAUAGAAAAGGUCACAACUUAC